AAAUGAUUUCGGUUAUUUUCUUAGUGGCGGACGGGUGAGUAACACGUGAGGAACCUGCCUCUGAGAGUGGGAUAGCUUCUGGAAACGGAUGGUAAUACCGCAUAACAUAGUGAAACCGCAUGAUUUUGCUAUCAAAGUAUUUCGCUCAGAGAUGGCCCCGCGUCUGAUUAGAUAGUUGGUGAGGUAACGGCUCACCAAGUCGACGAUCAGUAGCCGGACUGAGAGGUUGAACGGCCACAUUGGGACUGAGACACGGCCCAGACUCCUACGGGAGGCAGCAGUGGGGGAUAUUGCACAAUGGGGGAAACCCUGAUGCAGCGAUGCCGCGUGGAGGAAGAAGG
rnacentral:rRNA from 1 species